rnacentral:misc_RNA from 1 species
GAUGAAGAACGUAGCGAAAUGCGAUAAGUAGUGUGAAUUGCAGAAUUCAGUGAAUCAUCGAAUCUUGGAACGCACAUUGCGCCCCUUGGUAUCCCGAGGGGCAUGCCUGUUCGAGCGUCAUUUCACCACUCAAGCCUGGCUUGGUGUUGGGCGACGUCCUCUUUGGGGACGCGCCUCGAAACGCUCGGCGGCGUGGCACCGGCUUUAAGCGUAGCAGAAUCUUUCGCUUUGGAAGUCGGGGCCCCGUCUGCCGGAAGACCUGCUCGCAAGGUUGACCUCGGAUCAGGCAGGGAUACCCGCUGAACUUAAGCAUAUCAAUAAGCGGAGGA